rnacentral:rRNA from 1 species
UGAACGCUGGCGGCGUGCCUCAUACAUGCAAGUCGAGCGAACGGACGAGAAGCUUGCUUCUCUGAUGUUAGCGGCGGACGGGUGAGUAACACGUGGAUAACCUACCUAUAAGACUGGGAUAACUUCGGGAAACCGGAGCUAAUACCGGAUGAUAUUUUGAACCGCAUGGUUCAAAAGUGAAAGACGGUCUUGCUGUCACUUAUAGAUGGAUCCGCGCUGCAUUAGCUAGUUGGUAAGGUAACGGCUUACCAAGGCAACGAUGCAUAGCCGACCUGAGAGGGUGAUCGGCCACACUGGAACUGAGACACGGUCCAGACUCCUACGGGAGGCAGCAGUAGGGAAUCUUCCGCAAUGGGCGAAAGCCUGACGGAGCAACGCCGAGUGAGUGAUGAAGGUCUUCGGAUCGUAAAACUCUGUUAUUAGGGAAGAACAUAUGUGUAAGUAACUGUGCACAUCUUGACGGUACCUAAUCAGAAAGCCACGGCUAACUACGU